ACGUGAGUGGCUCAAUUGGUAGAGCAGCGGUCUCCAAAACCGCAGGUUGGGGGUUCGAGUCCCUCCUCACGUG
rnacentral:tRNA from 1 species